rnacentral:rRNA from 1 species
GGAAUCUUCGGCAAUGGACGAAAGUCUGACCGAGCAACGCCGCGUGAGUGAAGAAGGUUUUCGGAUCGUAAAACUCUGUUGGUAGAGAAGAACGUUGGUGAGAGUGGAAAGCUCAUCAAGUGACGGUAACUACCCAGAAAGGGACGGCUAACUACGUCGCA